rnacentral:rRNA from 1 species
CAGUAGCCACGGGAAUACGAAGGGGGCUAGCGUUGCUCGGAAUCACUGGGCGUAAAGGGUGCGUAGGCGGGUUUUUAAGUCAGAGGUGAAAUCCUGGAGCUCAACUCCAGAACUGCCUUUGAUACUGAAAGUCUUGAGUAUGGGAGAGGUGAGUGGAACUGCGAGUGUAGAGGUGAAAUUCGUAGAUAUUCGCAAGAACACCAGUGGCGAAGGCGGCUCACUGGCCCAUUACUGACGCUGAGGCACGAAAGCGUGGGGAGCAAACAGGAUUAGAGACCCCUGUAGUCCCUGUCUCUUAUAC